AGAAGGGCGACCCCCCUAAUCUUUAUUGAUGUGCGGGUUAGGCGCGCACCUCUGGAUCGUUUACUUUGAAGAAAUUAGAGUGUUUAAAGCAGGCGCACACAGAGCAACGGGUCGUCGACCGUCAAAAGUUGGCGACCCAGCCUUGAAUACAUCAGCAUGGGAUAAUAGAAUAGGAUCUUUUUCUUAUUCUGUCGGUUUCCGAGGAAAAGGUAAUGAUCGAGAGGGGUAAUUGGGGGGCAUUCAUAUUUAGUAGUCAGAGGUGAAAUUCUUGGAUUUACGAAAGAUGAACUUGUGCGAAAGCAUUUGCCAAGGGUGCUUUCUUUGAUCAAGAACGAAAGUUAGGGGAUCGAAGACGAUCAGAUACCGUCGUAGUCUUAACCUUAAACUAUGCCGACCAGGGGAUUGGGAAGACGUUACUAAACACCCCUCACAAGGGGGGUGAAAACGACUCCUCCAGC
rnacentral:rRNA from 1 species